CUUUAGUGCCCAAGACUGACUAGUAGAAUAUUGCAGAAGGGGAAUGUAUGUGUCGUACAUGAAGAUUUUAGUCUACAGUGGGCAGUCAAGUUAUUCAGCACAUAACUCCUUCAUGCUCAGCCACCAUGAACUGCGGCCCAGCCGUGCCCGCCUGCCUUGGAGCCAACUGAGUGUGGACUGAAACCUCCAAAACUAAAUGGAGCAGUAAUUCUCAAGAGAACUCUUUGGAAUCAUCUGAGAAAUCUUAAAAAUCUUGAAGCUGAGGUUCUCGCUAUGCAGUUCAGGCUGGCCUUGAGCUCACUUUGUAGCCCAGGCUGGUCUCGAACUCGUAAUGAUCCUCCUGCCUCAGCCUCCUGAAGAAUGUACCACCAUGCCUGGCUGUUCUCAUUUUAAAGAAGAAACUGGAGCUUUGUGAAGAUGUAUAACUCACCCAAAGCACCCGGAGGACCUAUGAAUGAAUCUACUAAAUUUUCCUUCACGUUGUCAGACAAAACGUCUGUUUUGUACAAGCAGCAGCAGAGGGCGCUCAUCUCACAGUUUAGCUUUAUCUAAACUGAAGGAAAACACUAUUAUAUUAAUGCCUGUGUAACUAUUAACAUGUUUGUGACUGUUGAAAAAAAUAGAAGACAGAAUAUGGAUGGAUGGAUGGAUGGAUGGAUGGAUGGAUGGAUGGAUGGAUGGAUGGACGGGAGGAUGAAUGGAUGAAUGAUGGGAUAGAUAGAUGAGGGAGGGAUGAACAGAUAAUUGACAGAUUGAUAAUAGAAAUUAUUCUUGUGGCCCCUCCCCUAACUAUUGAUGUUGCAACCAUGCCUGUUAUGCUCCUUUUAAUAACUGCCACCUUUUCCCUCCUUUAGCAUGUUCAUUUCCUAGCACUGUGAAACACAGCACGGAAACUUUCAACCUUGAGCUUUAAAAGCUGGGGUGCUAAGUCCCACAUUUCAGUGCAAAGCCUUUCUUUCUGCGGGGCCACAACCAUUUCUUGAGCAUGUCCAGGAGAGGAGGAGGUGAAUCUGUUUUCUCCUGGCAUGACUUUGAUGAUGUUUCUUGUGAAUGAGCUGCAAACUACCGCAAUACUGUUUCCUUUUUCCUGUUUCCCUUCCUCUCCCACAUCCCUCUAUCCUGCCAGGCUAUUCUUAACCAUGCCUCCCUUGUUUUAUCCCUCUGAGGUCAUGGUCUUCAAUAGGUAAGAUACCCGCCUACUGUAGCCAGCCUCCAGAAGGGCCCCUGAGCCCCACCUCCUUGCAUGCACACCUUUAUACAGUGCUCUCCUGCACUGAGCAGGGAUGACCUGUGCCAGGAUAUUGUGAGAAUGACUGUAUGGCCUUCAAAGUUAAGCUUACAAAAGACAAGUGCUUCUGCUUUGCUUUCUCUUGGAUUACUGAGCCUGCUGCCCUGGUGUGAGGAUUCUCAGGUGGUCCUAUGGAGGGUGCAAGUGGCAAGGAACUGAGUUCUCCUGCCGGGAGCACUUUUCAAUGAAAGCAUGCUAUGCAAGCCAGCUACCUGGAACAUGAACACUUCAGCCCCGACACAGCCUGCAGGUGACUGCAAGUAUGUCAGCACCCACUAGGUGCUCCCAAAUGUCUCACCCACAGAAACCAUGGGAUAAUAAAUGUUUAUUAUUUUAAGACACUA